rnacentral:tRNA from 1 species
UGCGGGAUGGUGUAAAGGUAGCACCGAUGACUCUGACUCAUCUUGUGAGGGUUCGAAUCCUUCUCCCGCAGCCA